AGCCUAACUCUAGCCCAACCAGCCCCAGUCCAAAGUUUCUUAAACAUUCAAAACAAAACAUUUUAACCAACCUAGUAUAGGCGAUAGAAAAGUCCAACCUCAGGUGCUAUAGAGUUUACGUACCGCAAGGGAAAGAUGAAAUAACAAUGACAAACCAAGCCCCGUAAAGCAAAGAUCAAUCCUUGUACCUUUUGCAUCAUGAUUUAGCAAGUACAACCAAGCAAAACGACACUUUAAGUUUGCCCCCCCGAAACCCAAGCGAGCUACUUACAGGCAGCUAUUCCCUGAGCAAACCCGUCUCUGUUGCAAAAGAGUGGGAAGACCUGUUAGUAGAGGUGAAAAGCCAACCGAGCUGGGUGAUAGCUGGUUGUCUGUGAAACGAAUCUAAGUUCUCCCUUGACCUUCUACAAGGACAUUAACCCAACCCCCACGAACCUAAAAGUCAAAGGCAAUAUAAAGGAGGUACAGCUCCUUUAGAACAGAAUACACUCUUCUCUAGCGGAUAAGUCCCCUUCCACCCCAAUCCUGUAGGCCCUUAAGCAGCCACCAACAAAAAAUGCGUCAAAGCUUCCCACAAAAAAAUCUAAAACCCCCUACGACUCCCUUACCCUUAACAGACCAUCCUAUCAAAAUAUAGGAGAAUCCAUGCUAAAAUGAGUAAUUCGGCCAACUCCUCUACGGCGCAAACUUACAUUUUUCUCUACCCAUUAUUAACAGACCAAGAUAUACAUUAACCCCAACAAGCCCCUAUAUCCCAACCCACUGUUAACCCAACCUCAGGAGCGCCUCAAAGAUGAUUAAAAUCUGUAAAAGGAACUAGGCAAACACAAGGCCCGACUGUUUACCAAAAACAUAGCCUUCAGCAAAACAAGUAUUGAAGGUGAUGCCUGCCCAGUGACAUUACGUUUAACGGCCGCGGUAUCCUAACCGUGCAAAGGUAGCACAAUCAAUUGUCCCAUAAAUCGAGACCUGUAUGAACGGCCAAACGAGGUCUUAACUGUCUCUUACAGAUAAUCAAUGAAAUUGAUCUCCCCGUGCAAAAGCAGGGAUAAUAACACAAGACAAGAAGACCCUGUGGAACUUUAAAAUCAGCAGCCACCCUUCCACUAACUUCCCUCCACCGGACCCACGCUCAUCACCAAGACCACCCUGGCAUGCAUUUUUAGGUUGGGGCGACCUUGGAGAAAAACAGAUCCUCCAAAAAUAAGACUACCCCUCUUGACCAAGAACUACUAAUCAACGUGCUAACAGCAACCAGACCCAAUAUAAUUGAUCAAUGAACCAAGCUACCCCAGGGAUAACAGCGCAAUCUCCUCCAAGAGCCCCCAUCGACGAGGAGGUUUACGACCUCGAUGUUGGAUCAGGACAUCCUAGUGGUGCAGCCGCUACUAAGGGUUCGUUUGUUCAACGAUUAACAGUCCUACGUGAUCUGAGUUCAGACCGGAGUAAUCCAGGUCGGUUUCUAUCUGUGAUAAACUCUUUUCAGUACGAAAGGACCAAAAGAGUGGGACCAAUACCACUAUCAUGUCCCUGCCAUAAGUAGUGAAUUCAACUAAACUACCUAAAGCUUUCUCCCAUCCUUCUGUUCCAGAAAAGAACCG
rnacentral:rRNA from 1 species